UGAAAGUCCUUGCAGCAUUGAAGCAUUCCCUUGCUUCAGGGAAAUUUAUCAGGAAAACAAAGUGUCUUUAAUUAGAACUUCUUUGGAUUGGUAUUUUUAAAAGCCUUAGCCAUUUGAUAGGAAGAACCCUCUAAAAGGUCCAUUUACCCCAUUGAAUUUUUCUUUAUGAAUUUAGGAAAUUAUUGUAAAAGCAUGUGUUUGUUUUUUCAUGAUUGAACUUGGUAUUUAUCAGUAUAAAAUGGAUAUCCAGGAACACUAUCUUCUUUUUUAAUCUUACAGGCAAAAAAGAUUUAACUAACAGAAGCUCAACUUGUGACCAACAUCAGGAAUAAAUUAGAUCAUCAAUACCAGUCAUGUAAGUCCCAGUCUAUAACUGAGGAACAGAUCACAAAGCAUUGAUCUCUCUCUUAAGCAUCUUCCCUUAAAAAGGCAGAUGAGCUCACAUAACACCAGCCUGCUAGACUGAAAUAUAAUGAUGUUCCCUUUCUCUCUCAUCUGAGAAAUAAAUACGGGUUUUACACAGACCAUCAAACAAAUGCCCAGGUAACAACUGAAGGACAUCUAAUUUUAAUAUCAUAGAAGCAUCAAGGACAACUAUGGAAGGACAUUGUAUUUGUUAUCAAGUUUUAUCAAUUCUUAAGUAUAAUUAAGGUUUAUCAUAUAAAGGCAGUCUAGUGCAGAGAAGUAGCCACUUAAAUCUUCUUGAAAAAAAGGUAACAAUUUUGUUGUUGUUGUUGUUUCAAAGGAAGAGAAUUCCCAUUUUCAGAUUGCUUUUAACCUACCUGGAGUCCAACAUUUCUUGCCUUCUCCAAAAAACUGAUUACCUUCAUUAUUUCUCACUCUUUCCUACUUUCAACCUCUUUCUUUGUUUAGCUUUGGCUUAUGAGCCUACAAAGUCAGAAGGGGCUCAAGUGUCUCUUAUCUUCACAUAUACAAUCCACAUCCACCCAGCUUUCUCCUCAGCUUUCUCUACCUCUUAAAGCCAAAUUUCCUAAAAGAGUUCCCCCAUAUUCUCUCUUCCCAGUAAGUACCCAACUCACUAUAAUCUAGCAUCAGCAAUGCUAGUCACAAAUGACCUCUAUUUGCUAUAUCUGAUGUCUACUUCAUUAUACUUUUCUGACUUCUCAGUAACAUCUGACACUAAUGACCAUUUAGUGUUCUCCUUCCCCACCCUCCUCCUCCCCUUUGGCUGGCUGAAAAACAAUUUCUUUUCAAGAAGAAAAAACUAGGCAGAAAUACUCAGAGGCCAUACUGGGAAGGCUCAACAAUACUGAAGUCAUUCUGCUUCCCACACACACAAAGGAAACAUUGGUCAUCUUUAGAUACUUAUCCAGAACUUUUCCUGUGGAAGUCACCCACCCCCAUCUGAGUUCCUUCAUCUUCCAACAAAUUUCCUGCUGAACCAGCUGCCACUCACUCCGGUUCUCUUCCUUCAUCUCUACAAAGUUCGCCCAGAUUUUUCAGGGAAAUCUUGCCCUUUACUCUGAUAAGACAGAAUACAUUGCCAUGAAUUUAUUUAUUUAUUUAUUUUAUUUUUUUGAACAAGGGAUUUAACCCAGGAGUGCUUUACCACUGAGCCACAUUUCUGGCCCCCCUCUUUUUAUUUAUUUUAUUUAUUUUUAAUUUUGACAGGGCCUCGCUGACUUAGGGCCUCACUAAAUUGCUGAGGCUGGCCUUGAACUUGUGGUCCUCCUGCCUCAACUUCCCAAAUUGCUCCGAGUAGAAUCCUGUGGCACCACACCUGCCUGCCAUCAGCCUUCUUUUGUUUUUUAGUUGCAUGUGGACACAAUACCUUUAUUUUAUUUAUUUAAUGUGGUGCUGAGGCUCGAACCCAGUGCCUCAUGCAUGCUAGGUGAGUGCUCUACCUCUGAGCCACAACCCCAGCCCCUGUCAUCAGUUUUUAAAUAUGCUUUCUAAAAUACCUAUGAAACCAAUCCAGACAACUCCUUUGAAGUUUACAGCUGGACUGAGAUCAACAGGGCCAUAGGUGACCUUGGAAGAGGUCAUUAGAAAUCUUCAAGGUUUUAGAGGCUUGAGGAAGCAACCUAGGGAGAAGGGGAAGCCAGCUGAUAGCAGGAGGGGAUUUGAAUGGGGGACCCUGUGGCCAAACUUGGGGCUGGAGUUGGAGCAAUGGAUGCCUGGGGAGGCUGUCAGGAUGAGGUUUGGGUGACUUACUCCAAUCACAUCCUCCUGUAUGCUUUAAAUAAUCUCUAGAUAACUCUUGAAACCCAAUACAAUGCAAAUGCUAUGUAAACAGUUGUUAAAUUGUUCUGUCUAGAGAAUAACGUCAAGAAAAAAAAUACAUGUUCAGUAUGUUUUUAAAAAAUGUUUUCCAUCCACAGUUGGUUGAAUCUGUGGAUGUAGCACCUGUGGACUCAGUGACAGUAUUCAUUUAUUGUCUAAUCAGUGCAGAUGAAGAUUUUCCAUCAGUCCAGGCACUAUCUCUUUGUGUUAUUGAAGGAAGAUUUCUUGCUUAUUUCAGAUCUGCAGCAGGGAAAAAAGUAGCAAUGCUGUUUUUAAAGUACCAAGGUACUCCAAACUUGCUUCUGUUUAAGCAAUAUAGAUCCUCUUACUGAUGCAGUUUCCUAAGACCAUUUCCCGGUACCAUUACUUACUCUGUUGAAUCCUCAAACAUGCCUCCAAUGAAUGCUCUCUCAGAGGCUGUUUUGGGCUUCAUUGAUGAUAACCACAAAUGGGAUUCUUACUCAGAAUAUGCAGGAACAUGUAAAGUGUCAUUUGUUUUCUGGUCACAUAAAUUUAUUGAUAAGAAUUUCAUCACAAAAACAGAAAAACAUCUGAUUUUGUCUUUUCUUACUCAUUAGAUCGUAACAACUGCAUUCCUGGAAUGGCUGUCUCACAAUGCCACUGCACCCCUGCCUUCUAAACAGUGCUGCUAAAAGAGAGGAGAAGUGGGGACCCUAAGGAAUGUCAGACCAUUCCUAUUUGUGCAACAAAGUCAGUCCCUUGGCCCAAGAGACUUAAGAUCAACCUGGGAGAGUAUGACAUUAUGAUUGGCCUCUAAAUCUCUCAGGGGGUUGUUAUGACAUGGGGCCUAGAGACUGUGGAAGGGGCAGGAUAACUACCCUGGGUGCCAAUGAUAGGAGAAGUGUGCAUAGAGCACAGCCUGUCCCCUGGUCCCGCCUCUGGUGAGAGUCUGCAUAUAGCUGCAGCCCAAGUUAACUGUGGACCAUAAACAGCCCAGAGCCCCAACUUUGUCCUUAGUCCAACAUGAGUAAGAAUCAUGCUACAUAAGUGAAUCUCUACCUUUCCUGUAGUCUCUGAUUCUUCAAAAGAAAUGUCUCACUGGCCAGUGGGAGUGAUCUGCUUACCAGGCUACCUUCCUGCAACAAAGCCCUGGCCCCAGGACCCUCCUCAUAGGCAUAAGUCUCAGAGCUCCUCUGGGCAUCUUGGGUGGAGUGUAAAGAAUCAAAGAGUGCCUCAAAGGAGAAAUGUGCCCUGGGAAAAUGGGAAGCUGGGACUGUUUGAGUUCUGGUCUAGGGCUUCAGUAUCUUGCCUAGAUAGCACUCCUAGCUGUGGUGGUCCCAGUCAUUGAAGAGGACUUACAAACCUUGGAGAAAAGCACUUCCUAUGACGGAGACCCUUACACGAUCAGAUCUGGGCUCAAGAGCAGCAUUGCACUAUAGUCCUCAGCCCAUCUCAAGCACCAGAGUGGAAAGGAGAAAAUUCCAACGAAGGCACUCUAAAGCGUGGAGCCCAAGGUGGAGGCCCAAAUCAUCCAGC
rnacentral:lncRNA from 1 species